rnacentral:rRNA from 1 species
UACAGAGGUCCCAAGCGUUGUUCGGAUUUACUGGGCGUAAAGGGCGCGUAGGCGGUUGUUUAAGUCUGACGUGAAAUCUCCGGGCCUAACCCGGAAACUGCGUUGGAUACUAUUCAACUAGAGGAAUGGAGGGGAGACUGGAAUACUUGGUGUAGCAGUGAAAUGCGUAGAUAUCAAGUGGAACACCAGUGGCGAAGGCGAGUCCCUGGACAUUUCCUGACGCUGAGGCACGAAAGCCAGGGGAGCAAACGGG